rnacentral:rRNA from 1 species
CCUACGGGUGGCUGCAGUGGGGAAUAUUGGACAAUGGGGGCAACCCUGAUCCAGCCAUGCCGCGUGUGUGAAGAAGGCCCUCGGGUUGGAAAGCACUUUCAGUGAGGAAGAACGCCUGGUGGUUAAUACCCAUCAGGAAAGACAUCACUCACAGAAGAAGCACCGGCUAACUCCGUGCCAGCAGCCGCGGUAAUACGGAGGGUGCGAGCGUUAAUCGGAAUUACUGGGCGUAAAGCGCGCGUAGGUGGCUUGAUAAGCCGGUUGUGAAAGCCCCGGGCUCAACCUGGGAACGGCAUCCGGAACUGUCAAGCUAGAGUGCAGGAGAGGAAGGUAGAAUUCCCGGUGUAGCGGUGAAAUGCGUAGAGAUCGGGAGGAAUACCAGUGGCGAAGGCGGCCUUCUGGACUGACACUGACACUGAGGUGCGAAAGCGUGGGUAGCAAACAGGAUUAGAUACCCCAGUAGUC